AUUGAACGCUGGCGGCAGGCCUAACACAUGCAAGUCGAGCGAGCGGCGGACGGGUGAGUAAUGUAUGGGGACUGCCCGAUAGAGGGGGAUAACUACUGGAAACGGUGGCUAAUACCGCAUACUAUCGGAUAACCCAUAUGGGAUUGGCUUGUAGGUGGGGUAAAGGCUCCCCUAGGCGACGAUCUCUAGCUGGUCUGAGAGGAUGAACAGCGACAGUGGGACGGAGACACGGCCCAGACGCCGACGGGGGCAGCAGUGGGGAAUAUUGGACAAUGGGCGCAAGCCUGAUGCAGCGAUGCCGCGGGUAUGAAGAGGGCCUUAGGGUUGUAAACCUCUUUCGCUAGCGAACGGGUAGGUGGAGAAGAAGCGCCGGCUAACUACGUGCCAGCAGCCGCGGUAAUUC
rnacentral:rRNA from 1 species